AGUCGAACGCAGUAGCAAUACUGAGUGGCAAACGGGUGAGUAUAAUGUGGGAAUCUGCCUUUUGGUUUGGAAUAACACGGGGAAACUUGUGCUAAUACCGAAUAAGCCCUUACGGGGAAAGUUUUAACGCCGAAAGAUGAGCCUGCACUUGAUUAGCUAGUUGGUAAGGUAAAGGCUUACCAAGGCAACGAUCAAUAGCUGUUCUUAGAGGAAGACCAGCCACAUUGGGACUGAGACACGGCCCAGACUCCUACGGGAGGCAGCAGUGGGGAAUCUUGCACAAUGGGGGAAACCCUGAUGCAGCGAUGCCGCGUGAGUGAAGAAGGCCCUUGGGUUGUAAAACUCUUUCGUCGGGGAAGAAAAUGACUGUACCCGAAUAAGAAGGUCCGGCUAACUUCGUGCCAGCAGCCGCGGUAAUACGAAGGGACCUAGCGUAGUUCGGAAUUACUGGGCUUAAAGAGCUCGUAGGUGGUUAAAAAAGUUGAUGGUGAAAUCCCAAGGCUCAACCUUGGAACUGCCAUCAAAACUUUUUAGCUAGAGUGUGAUAGAGGUAAGUGGAAUUUCUAGUGUAGAGGUGAAAUUCGUAGAUAUUAGAAAGAACACCAAAUGCGAAGGCAACUUACUGGGUCACUACUGACACUGAGGAGCGAAAGCAUGGGUAGCGAAGAGGAUUAGAUACCCUCGUAGUCCAUGCCGUANACGAUGUGUGCUAGACGUUGGAAAUAUAUUUUUCAGUGUCGCAGCGAAAGCAUUAAGCACACCGCCUGGGGAGUACGAC
rnacentral:rRNA from 1 species